AGGGCCGCCCACUUCUUGUGUAAACAUACGGCUGAACUGCCUUUUCUUCAUAUCUCAAAAUCGAAAGCUCACCUCUCCCUCUCUCUCUCUCUCUCUCAUUCCCGGCGUCGCCGCCGCCGACCGCCUCGUUGAGCUGCCGCCUCCCACUCCUCUCCAUUUCACACCUUUGUCCCUAUUAUCUCUCAAUUAAAUCUUCCUCAUACCCAAAUCUACAAAAUCGAAAAGAGCUUAAUUCUCAUCAAGAGAUUUCGCCGCCGCCUUCGUGGAACCGCCGACGGUCGUCUCUUUGCUCAUCUCCGGCGAUUGAUUGACGUCGUUCUUCCUUUCGAAAUGAGCCCCAGCUCUCCGCUCUUAUUCUCUCACAGAAAGACCCAGGUGAUUUUCCCUUUUCAAACCCGAGCCCUAGCUUUUCUUUAUCAGAAAUCGCCGUCGCCACUCUGCAAUUUCCGGCGAUGUCCGCCUCUUUCACCGGCCCUGACUCCAUUCCUCUCUCGAUUUCUCUAGCAGCCUCAAGCAGAACUCAAUUUGGAACAUUAAUUAUUCAUCUCUCCUCCACAUUCAAAGGAAGCACACAAAUGAGGGAGAAAAGUUCGGCCCUAGCUUCUCCGUCUAAAAUCGCGGGUCAGCGCCCUGGUUCGAUGCUGUCGCGUCUUCCUUGGCCGGAGAUCGCAGCGCCGCUGAAAUCUGUCCUCUGCUCAAGAACCGGCUCAAGCCUCACUCUCUCCCUUCUUCUAUUGAAUUCUGGUAUUUCUAUAAUUGAUUAUGCAAGAGAUAAAACUAAGUUCGUGGUUUACUAAUGUAUCAAGAAUUUUCCUUGCUUGCCUCGUGUGAUAAGAAAAUAUAGCAUAAACUGAUUUCGAUUGCUAAGUCCCUGUGUGCAUAUAUAUAUACUCGUUGUAAACUUUAUGUCCUUCAACUAAUUCUGUUUGUGAAUGAAAUGCGAAUCGGAUUUGAACGAGCUGAGCUUAGUAAAUACCUGCAAAUAUUUGGUGUUGGUGGCUGCUGUUAUUGAUAUUGAAUGCAGACGAUGGGGACUCUUAAAGUUGGCAGAGCAGCAGCUUAAUGAAUUCUCCUUACUUUGGUGGCUGAAGGAUCAGAGAAUGAAGGCAAGGAGUGUUGGCUAGUAGCCUUAAAGAAUCGAAAAUGGUGGAGGUGGUGGGUGAUUGAGGAGAUGGCUGUCAUAGGGUGGCUGAUUGACACCUAUGUAUACCUUGGCAUGGUUAAAGGGAUGGGAGAGUGGCUUGAAGGCUGCCGUUGCAGCUAUUCUGCACACACAUAGCACACGUCCCCUUUCUUUCCCUUUCUUUGGUCUGCUUUCUUGAUGUAGUAGGUAGGAAAUAGGGAUGCAGGGAAUAGUAAGUUGUAAAGUUGUGAUGUGAUGAAUAAAAUCCUUCAGUGUUGCUCAUUCUGUAUCUAUAAUACUAAUUUCGGGUUCCCAUAUAACGACGCUUCGUUAUAACUCUCUAC
rnacentral:lncRNA from 1 species